rnacentral:rRNA from 1 species
UAAACUAGGAUUAGAUACCCUAUUAUUUUAAAUGUAAAUUUUAAAUACUGAAUUAGUAUUAGCUAUGUUCUUGAAAAUUAAAAAAUUUGGCGGUAUUUUAGUCUUUUCAGAGGAACCUGUCCUGUAAUCGAUAGUCCACGAUAUAGGGUACUUUAUUUAUUAGUUUACAUAUCGUCGUAGUUAGAAUAUUUUAAAAGAAUAUUAAUAUUCUAGAUUUUUAAUUAAAAAAUAAAUCAGAUCAAGGUGUAGUUUAUAAUAAAGGAGAGAUGGGUUACAUUAAAUUUAUUUAAGGAUAAUUUUUAGGAUAAAAAUUUGAAUAUGGAUUUGAAAGUAAUUUUAUUAAGUUUAAUAAGAUGAUUUUAGCUCUAAAAUAUGCACACAUCGCCCGUCGCUCUUAA